UCUGAGGUGCCCCCCCACCCUCACCCCCAGUCCUGAAGGCCAAGGAUUCAGAUUGGGAGAAAAUGAAGCAGUAAAAAUACUGAGUACCCCCAAAGCGAAAAGGUAGUGGUUCAGAAGCUACACAGUUGCAACAAAACUAUUUUGACGACAGGGUAUAAUUAUUUUCUUGUAGGUAAUAUUAAAAUAAUUCCGACUUCAUGAGUCAAUAUAGAUGUGUAUAAUAAAUGUGAGAGAGCUAGGACGAUUUGUAUGAAACCUCAACUGCUUGAACAAUGUAUAGAUCAUUUUGUUUGGAGACUUUUCUGGAUUGCCAGACAGUGGCGUGUGUUUUAUUCUAGCUUCUGGGAAGCAUCCCACGGAAAGGGGGCGAGAAGCCACCACCCCUGCAGACAGCAUUAACUACCACUGUCAGGAAAUUAGAAACUGUUCCAAGCGCCUGAUGGACAGAGUUUCAGGGAGCUUCCCCAGGCGAGUGGAAGACCCCAUGGCUCUCUGGUCAGAGGAGGGACCUCUCCCUUGAAACUCCAGGGUUCCUAUUUCCCCUCCGUCCUUGGCGAUACAUCCGUGUUUUCUUCUUUACUCGUAAUAAGGCUGCGCCAUAGGACUUGCAGGGGGCCCCCUGGUGGCUAACUGUGAGUGAAAACGUUGGCCACUGAAGAAAACAGCCUGACCCUGAUAGGCCACAACAGUUGACUGGUCAUGGCAGGGGCCCAAAAGUGGGUAAACAACUUUUGUAAUAAGGCCAGAAGGUGGAGGUGCUGCUGGUGGUGGUGGUGUGUGUAGAUAAGGGUGAUGUCAAUCUUCCAUCUGAAAGGUGCACGAUAGGCCUUAAAGACUGCUGGAACUUUUUAUUUUUUUCUCUUCUUGAGUAUACCUUGGAGCUAAAUUCUUUCUUAAGUAGGAAAUGCGGUACAGAGAAUGAAUUAUAACAAACACUGUUGCUUCCCGUUGUUCAAACGGCUUUGCCUUUCUGAUCUCAUUUGGCCUGGAAACUUCUGAAGUACAGAGUAAAUUAAAACAUUAAAUAAAUAAUGUGGCAUGACUCAAA